rnacentral:rRNA from 1 species
UACGGAAGGGGCAAGCGUUGUUCGGAAUCAUUGGGCGUAAAGGGCGCGUAGGUGGUUCUGUAUGUCUACCGUGAAAGCGUACGGCUCAACCGUAUUUUGUCGGUGGAAACUGCAGGACUUGAGGCUGGGAGGGGCUGGUGGAAUUCCCUGUGUAGCGGUGAAAUGCGCAGAUAUCAGGAGGAACACCGGUGGCGAAGGCGGUGGUCUGGGCCGGUACUGACGCUGAGGAGCGAAAGCGUGGGGAGCGAACAGG